rnacentral:lncRNA from 1 species
UUAUAUUUUUAGGUCUUACGUUUAAGUCUUUAAUCCAUCUUGAGUUAAUUUUUGUAUAAGGUGUACAGGAAAAGAUUGACUCCAGGCAUUGCAAUAUAAAACCCACCCGUCCAUCUUGAAAUUGGUGGUGUCCUGCAUGCUAUAUAAGUUCUCCCACUUGCAAUUUAUAAUGAGGAGACGUAUUUUUGAAGCAAUUAUGUUAGCCAGAAAGGUCUUGAUCUGACCUCGUGAUCCACCUGCCUCGGCCUCCCAAAGUGCUGGG